GAGAAUUAAAAUCAUAAUCGUGGUCAACCACAAAUUAGAAAUGAGAAAUGAGAGAUUGAUUUUCACUGGGUUAGAAAUCGAUCUUCCACUCUUAGUAAGGGUGGGCAAAUAACUCGAUCCGACCCAAAAAAUAGAGUUUGGAUCAAAUUAGAUUACUUACCCAAUUCGAUCAAGUGCUCUUUACUCAACUCGAUUAGAUUAGAUUAAAUCCAAUCUUAUCCGAAAAAUCUAAUUGGGUUGGUCUUGACUCAAAAAAAUUGAGCCAAAUAUUGACUCACUCUCUCGCACAAACAACAGUCGCUCACACACACAAAAAAAAAAACCAAAUCUUUGACUCGCUCUCUCACAUAGUCAACACAACACUCACACCACGCAAGCACACACAUAUGCUGCGGCAUCAUUCACCAAACAGACAAAUACAUACAUAGAUUGAAGAUGCCAGAUGCAGUGCAGAUGGCAAUUAGAAUGGCAGCACAGACAAACAUUGCAGCAAGCAGUCACCGACUCACCAACGCAAACACGCGAAGCUAAGCCAUCACGAGUCCGCAACGCACCGAUACGAUCUACUGCAGCUCGGCUGCUGCCGCCUCUUGCUUCACCAACCACUGUGAUUGUUGCUGCAGGUUGCUCCACCUCAACCGACAUCCAUCGUCACCGAGUUUCUCUAAAAUAAAGUUUUCAUGGUAUAUUACUAUAUUAUAUUAAAUAAUUAUAAUGGGGUUUAUUGUUUGACAUAUUGUGGCAUUAAAUCAUAAUUGCAAUCACCAAAGUUUAUGAACUUGAAUGCAAUUUCUAGUUGAGAAACAAAAAUAGAGUUGAGAAUGAGUCAGUAAGAAAGGAAAUAAAGCUCAUUGAAGUGUUAAUCCUAACCUGAUUUGAUGGGAACUCAACUCAACUUUUUGAUCUGAUCCGAAUAUAUUCAAAUAGGAUCGGAUCGAAUUACAAAUUCAUGUUGAAUUUAAAUGAGUUUUUCUCCAACCUGAUCAACUUGAAACUUGAUUAGGUUGACUCGAACUCAAUCCAAACUUGAUUUUGUCCACC
rnacentral:lncRNA from 1 species